ACUGCAGUCGACGAAAAGCAGGAGCUUGCUCCUGUGGACGAGUGGCGAAAGGGUGAGUAACGCGUGAGUAACCUGCCCUCAAGUUUGGGAUAACCUUUGGAAACGAGGGCUAAUACCGGAUGUGGAUAUUUUUUCGCAUGGAAAUUUAUCUAAAAAUUUAUUGCUUGAGGAUGGGCUCGCGUACCAUUAGCUAGUUGGUGUGGUAACGGCAUACCAAGGCUACGAUGGUUGGGUGGAUUGAGAGAUCGGUCACCCACACUGGGACUGAGACACUGCCCAGACUCCUACGGGAGGCUGCAGUCGAGAAUCUUCCGCAAUGCGCGAAAGCGUGACGGAGCAAUGCCGCGUGGUGGAUGAAGGCCUUAGGGUUGUAAACACCUGUCACAUGGGACGAAUUUUGAUGGUACCAUGAGAGGAAGCCACGGCUAACUACGUGCCAGCAGCCGCGGUAAUACGUAGGUGGCGAGCGUUGUUCGGAUUUAUUGGGCGUAAAGGGUCCGCAGGGGGUUUGCUAAGUCUGAUGUGAAAUCCCAAGGCUCAACUGCAGUCGACUGCAGUCGACUGCAGUCGUA
rnacentral:rRNA from 1 species